UACGUAGGGUGCAAGCGUUAAUCGGAAUUACUGGGCGUAAAGCGUGCGGAGGCGGCUAUGCAAGACAGAUGUGAAAUCCCCGGGCUCAACCUGGGAACUGCAUUUGUGACUGCAUGGCUAGAGUACGGUAGAGGGGGAUGGAAUUCCGCGUGUAGCAGUGAAAUGCGUAGAUAUGCGGAGGAACACCGAUGGCGAAGGCAAUCCCCUGGACCUGUACUGACGCUCAUGCACGAAAGCGUGGGGAGCAAACAGG
rnacentral:rRNA from 1 species